GCCAGGUGCAGUGGCACAUGUGUGUAGUCCCAGCUACUCGGGAAGCUGAGGCAGGAGGAUUGCUUGAGCCCAGGAGUUCUGGGCUGUAAUGUGCUAUGCCAGCCGGAUGUCAGCACUAAGUUCGGCAUCAGUAUGGUGACCUCCCGGGAGCGGGGGACCAUCAGGUUGCCUAAGGAGGGGUGAACCGGCCCAGGUCGGAAAUAGAGGAGGUAAAAAAAAAUAGGGGUGAACAGUGGCUUUCUUUGGGUGAGAGAAUUAUGGUCGAUUUCUUCUCUUUCUGCUUUUUACCAUUUUCGAUUCUUU
rnacentral:SRP_RNA from 1 species